rnacentral:tRNA from 1 species
GCCGAGAUGGUGAAAUUUGGUAUACACGCUACUUUGAGGUUAAUGGUUGCGGGUUCAAAUCCCGUUCUCGGCA